GACGAACGCUGGCGGCGUGCCUAAUACAUGCAAGUCGAACGCAUUUUCUUUCACCGUAGCUUGCUACACCGAAAGAAAAUGAGUGGCGAACGGGUGAGUAACACGUUGGUAACCUGCCCAUCAGCGGGGGAUAACACUUGGAAACAGGUGCUAAUACCGCAUAAUUCCAUUUACCGCAUGGUAGAUGGGUGAAAGGCGCUUUUGCGUCACUGAUGGAUGGACCCGCGGUGCAUUAGCUAGUUGGUGGGGUAACGGCCUACCAAGGCUGCGAUGCAUAGCCGACCUGAGAGGGUGAUCGGCCACACUGGGACUGAGACACGGCCCAGACUCCUACGGGAGGCAGCAGUAGGGAAUCUUCGGCAAUGGACGCAAGGCUGACCGAGCAACGCCGCGUGAGUGAAGAAGGUUGUCGGAUCGUAAAACUCUGUUGUUAGAGAAGAACAAGGAUGAGAGUGGAAAGUUCAUCCCUUGACGGUAUCUAACCAGAAAGCCACGGCUAACUACGUG
rnacentral:rRNA from 1 species